rnacentral:rRNA from 1 species
ACUCAAAGGAAUUGACGGGGACCCGCACAAGCGGUGGAGCAUGUGGUUUAAUUCGACGCAACGCGAAGAACCUUACCUGGACUAGAAUGCCUUUGAUCGUUCCUUAAUAGGAAUUUCCUGAGCAAUCAGGCAAAGUGCAAGGUGCUGCAUGGCUGUCGUCAGCUCGUGUCGUGAGAUGUUGGGUUAAGUCCCGCAACGAGCGCAACCCUUAUUAACAGUUGCCAUCAUUAAGUUGGGAACUCUGUUAAGACUGCCGUUGAUAAAACGGAGGAAGGUGGGGACGAUGUCAAGUCAUCAUGGCCUUUAUGUUCAGGGCUACACACGUGCUACAAUGGUUGAUACAAAGCGUCGCAAUCUCGCAAGAGGGAGCCAAUCGCAAAAAGUCAAUCUCAGUUCGGAUUGAAGUCUGCAACUCGACUUCAUGAAGUUGGAAUCGCUAGUAAUCGCAAAUCAGCAUGUUGCGGUGAAUACGUUCCCGGGUCUUGCACACACCGCCCGU